rnacentral:rRNA from 1 species
GUGAGGCGUUGAGCUAACCUGUACUAAUUGCCCGUGAGGCUUAACCAUACAACACCCAAGGGGUUUUGUA